rnacentral:rRNA from 1 species
UACGUAGGGUGCAAGCGUUGUCCGGAAUUAUUGGGCGUAAAGAGCUCGUAGGCGGUUUGUCGCGUCUGCUGUGAAAACUCGGGGCUUAACUCCGGGCCUGCAGUGGGUACGGGCAGACUAGAGUGCGGUAGGGGAGACUGGAAUUCCUGGUGUAGCGGUGAAAUGCGCAGAUAUCAGGAGGAACACCGGUGGCGAAGGCGGGUCUCUGGGACGGAACUGACGCUGAGGAGCGAAAGCGUGGGGAGCGAACAGG